ensembl:lncRNA
CCCACGCAGGCCCUAUAUAGGGGUACAGGUUCCACGCAGGCUCUACAUAGAGGGGUACAGGCCCCACACAGACCCUAUAUAGGGGUACAGGUCCCACGCAGGCUCUACAUAGAGGGGUACAGGCCCCACACAGACCCUAUAUAGGGGCACAGGUCCCACGCAGGCCCUAUAUAGGGGUACAGGUCCCACGCAGGCUCUACAUAGAGGGGUACAGGCCCCACACAGGCCCUAUAUAGGGGUACAGGCCCCACACAGGCCCUAUAUGGGGGUACAGGUCCCACGCAGGCUCUACAUAGAGGGGUACAGGCCCCACACAGGCCCUAUAUGGGGUACAGGUCCCACGCAGGCUCUAUAGACGGGUACAGGUCCCAUGCAGGGGAUACGGGCCCCGUGAGGAGAGUACCGGGUCCACUCAGGCCUUGUACGGACCCCACGCAGGUUUACAGGCCCUACACAGAAACACAGACCCCGCGGAGGCCCCACACAGGGGUACAGACCCUGCACGGGGCCACCGAACCCACGCACGGAGCACAACUCCUUCGACACCCCACCCGCUC